rnacentral:rRNA from 1 species
UACGAAGGGGGCUAGCGUUGCUCGGAAUCACUGGGCGUAAAGGGUGCGUAGGCGGGUUUUUAAGUCAGGGGUGAAAUCCUGGAGCUCAACUCCAGAACUGCCUUUGAUACUGAGGAUCUUGAGUUCGGGAGAGGGUGAGUGGAACUGCGAGUGUAGAGGUGAAAUUCGUAGAUAUUCGCAAGAACACCAGUGGCGAAGGCGGCUCACUGGCCCGGUACUGACGCUGAGGCACGAAAGCGUGGGGAGCAAACAGG